GCGGCACUGGCGCCGCCAACGCGAGCGGCGCAACCUCUGUACGAUUAUCGAUGCCAUUAGCUUGUACCUUCGCAUCUAUAGAUGCGAUGUUUCUUGGGUCAUAAACUCGUCGUCUGCAAGCUUUCAGUUACCCGAUACAUCAUGAAUUGGUGAUGACAAUAAUACGUGGUGUUCUGGUUUCGUGGGUCAUGUUCUGUUGGCUUUUAUGUUCCGUGAUCUGUGUGACUUCGCUAUUGAUGGAUCUUUUGAAUAUCAUAACUAGCAUACAGGGUGCAUGGGCUAUUGUAAGAGAACUCUUGCCAUCUGUAAACAACAGUCUACUAGCAUGUUGAAACUGGAAAGUAUAUUAUGUUGUUGUUUUGCGGUACUGUCAACCCCAUGCAGAACUUGAUGAUGUGAGUAUAUCUAGCUGCUUAAAUAGCUUAUGCUUGUCAAGGACAUAACAGGAUUUAGUUCACCAUGGUUCUAAUAUACCAAAAGGCAUUCUGAUGAAAUUCUAGCUUGAUGACAUAUGUUACCAUAUAAUUCUAGUGAGUUGCUGAUCUUAGCAACUGAAAGGUAGUGUCAGACUAGACAUAUUUCCUUUUAUUUCUAUUUCAGUUACAAACAGAAUUGGCUUGUUAUUUUUAAUGGAAUGAAAUAAAUAUUCACGCUUUCUGACAUAGAAUCCCCUGGAAGGGUUAGGUGAGGAAUAGGUUAUUUUCACAAAAUAAAAGUGGGAAAAGGGAAUAUUUUAUACUACUGUACUGUUUAUUUCUUGAUGAGAAGUACUUGGCACGGUAUAUGUUGUUAAAUACUUGCAAUAUGAGUGGGUCAGUUGUGCAUGUCUGUUACUACAGUGAGAGCUAUGAAAUCAAGGAGAGUAACUUAAAUGUGGGAACUGUUGCACACAAAGGAUGGUCAAAAGAAUGUAGGUGUUUGCCGCUGCAUUAGGGUAUUUCUGUGGAUUGAAUAUAUAUUUGUAGAUGAUUCAAUGAACAUACUACUUUGUCAUGUCAUUGACAUAUCAGUUGUGCACUUUCUCAAAUUCAUUGUGCAAUAGGCUGAAAUAUUAUUGUAAGCAUUUGUAUAUUAUUUGAAUCACCGUGCAUGUCUCAGGGAGUCAGGGGUAUGUCAUAUCCAUUCUGCAUUAUAUUAGGAAGGAAGGUUGAGAAUGUUAAUUGAAAACCUCUUUGUUGUUUUAUCAAUUGUAAUGUAUUAAUUUUGUUUGGUGUUCCUCCUAUAGUUCUUUGGGGUUAUGGGUUUUCCAUUCUGUAAACUGCAGAUCUAUUUCUGUAAAAUUUGACCUGGUAUUUAUUUAGAAUUGGUUUUGUUGUGUAGGUUUUUUUCUUCCACAUCAGUAAUCAUUUACAUGUAAUACACUUGUGUAUGAUACUAACUUUAUGAUUAUUUUUUUCCAUUAUAAAAUGAGCAUAGUUUGGUGACAUUUUAGUGUUUUUAUUGAGUUUACAUAAUCUGCUAUGAAAUGUAAUUCGUGACCAAUGUCUCAAUUUUCUUGUUAUAAACAUGUGCUCAGCCUUUUCUUCAUCCAAUGAAAUGAAAGAAUUAUUUGAGAUUAUUUGGAUCUCUUCGUUCUUAGUUCUGUUAAAAUGGUGCUGGUAUGAGCAAGGAGUUAUAUGGUUACAAUAUUUUGUUAUGUGGGGCUACAUUAGAGUGGUUUUCUCUUGUUAUUCUCACACUAGUUCAAAAUCAGGUUGGAAGGGAGCAAACACCCGUGUCUAGAGAAAAAUGUUUUUGGGCUCACUGCAUUUUGUAGAUUUGAAUUUAAGUUUUUUCUAUUCUGUAUAAAUGCAAGUGUUUGCCAGUAUGUCCAACCUGGUCUUUUUGUACAACACUACAGGUUGGGUUGUGCAUGGUAGCGUGCCAGCAUUUGGAAGGAACCAAUGCUGAUGUUCAUUGUAUACCUCAAUGAAGUUGUGGUCACGAUGGACUGAUUGGCAACCAGCAUCUAGGACUCCAAGCUCUCAAUCUCCUUCCUCUCCAUCUUCAAGUAAUCCAGGCCGUUCACCUCCUGCUUCCUCAACAGGCGCAGCUUCUUAUCAUGCUUCUGCUUUUACCCCUUAUAAUUCUGCUUGCGGUUUAGGAAAAUGUCACAAUCCUAUGAAGAGGAACAACAAAGAUAUUUCUUUAAAGCUGAUAAAGCUAGAAGACACGAUUGCUUAUGAAUAUC